CCUACGGGAGGCAGCAGUGAGGAAUAUUGGUCAAUGGACGAGAGUCUGAACCAGCCAAGUAGCGUGAAGGAUGACUGCCCUAUGGGUUGUAAACUUCUUUUAUAUGGGGAUAAAACGUUCCACGUGUGGGAUUUUGUAUGUACCAUAUGAAUAAGGAUCGGCUAACUCCGUGCCAGCAGCCGCGGUAAUACGGAGGAUCCGAGCGUUAUCCGGAUUUAUUGGGUUUAAAGGGAGCGUAGGUGGAUUGUUAAGUCAGUUGUGAAAGUUUGCGGCUCAACCGUAAAAUUGCAGUUGAAACUGGCAGUCUUGAGUACAGUAGAGGUGGGCGGAAUUCGUGGUGUAGCGGUGAAAUGCUUAGAUAUCACGAAGAACUCCGAUUGCGAAGGCAGUUCACUGGACUGCAACUGACACUGAGGCUCGAAAGUGUGGGUAUCAAACAGGAUUAGAUACCCUUGUAGUC
rnacentral:rRNA from 1 species